CCUACGGGGGGCUGCAGUGAGGAAUAUUGGUCAAUGGACGAGAGUCUGAACCAGCCAAGUAGCGUGAAGGAUGACUGCCCUAUGGGUUGUAAACUUCUUUUAUAUGGGAAUAAAACGUUCCACGUGUGGGAUUUUGUAUGUACCAUAUGAAUAAGGAUCGGCUAACUCCGUGCCAGCAGCCGCGGUAAUACGGAGGAUCCGAGCGUUAUCCGGAUUUAUUGGGUUUAAAGGGAGCGUAGGUGGAUUGGUAAGUCAGUUGUGAAAGUUUGCGGCUCAACCGUAAAAUUGCAGUUGAAACUGGCAGUCUUGAGUACAGUAGAGGUGGGCGGAAUUCGUGGUGUAGCGGUGAAAUGCUUAGAUAUCACGAAGAACUCCGAUUGCGAAGGCAGUUCACUGGACUGCAACUGACACUGAGGCUCGAAAGUGUGGGUAUCAAACAGGAUUAGAUACCCUGGUAGUC
rnacentral:rRNA from 1 species